AUGCUCUUGAAGGAAUCAGUAAAGACUAUAGGCUGUGAGAAAGGGAACCCGAGGCCACGUUCAUGCCUAUCUCCAGGUUUUACCUGCUGUUCCUAUUUUGCCUCUGUGUUCCCUGGACACCACCAUUCCAGUGCAAGAUUUCCGGGGUUGAAUUCAUUUUCAGCAAAAGUUCUCAGAAGUGCUCUGACUGGCAUGGGACCAAGAGGCCACAUGCAGAUUUUAAGUUCUGUCACUGGGGUUUUGGGCAGUUGCCAUUCUGAGGAGGAGCUGAAGAGCACUGCUCUGCCAAAGAAAAAGAAGCUGGGAGAUGAAUCACUGAGUGGUUACCCAGAACAGAGAAUGUUGUCUGCAUUCAUCUAUCUUCCAUUCAAUCUCCCUUCAGAAAGACUAUUAUGGAGUUGUAAAUCAGGGCUCAGAGACAAGACGGGACUUCCUCGAGGUCAUGACGAGAUGACCUCAUGGCAAGCUGAAUCUUCAAGUUGUGUUGACCUACCUGGGAGCAUGUUGGCUCCAGAAUUCCAAGCUUCAGUAAUUUUAUAAAACAAAAUUAAAAUACCAGAAGGAUGUAUUUGCAAACAAAUUAUAGAGCUUUAAGAUUAUACAACAGUUAAGAAAGCAUGAGGUGGGCAUAUGUGUGCCAAUAAGGAAUGAGUUUGAAAAGCAAGUUGGAGAACAACAUGAAUAAUGUGAUCACAUUUUUGCUUUUAGAAACCAAAGUUCCAUAUAAUACGUAGCUACCAUUUGGUAAGUUAUUAGUGUUUACCUGG
rnacentral:lncRNA from 1 species